CCUGCCCUGUAGACUGGGAUAACACCGAGAAAUCGGUGCUAAUACCGGAUAAUACCUUUCUUCUCAUGGAGGAAGGUUGAAAGUUGGGAUUACUAACACUACAGGAUGGGCCCGCGGCGCAUUAGCUAGUUGGUAAGGUAAUGGCUUACCAAGGCGACGAUGCGUAGCCGACCUGAGAGGGUGAUCGGCCACACUGGGACUGAGACACGGCCCAGACUCCUACGGGAGGCAGCAGUAGGGAAUCUUCCGCAAUGGACGAAAGUCUGACGGAGCAACGCCGCGUGAGUGAUGAAGGUUUUCGGAUCGUAAAGCUCUGUUGUUAGGGAAGAACAAGUGCCGAACGAAUAGGUCGGCACCUUGACGGUACCUAACCAGAAAGCCACGGCUAACUACGUGCCAGCAGCCGCGGUAAUACGUAGGUGGCAAGCGUUGUCCGGAAUUAUUGGGCGUAAAGCGCGCGCAGGCGGUCUUUUAAGUCUGAUGUGAAAGCCCCCGGCUCAACCGGGGAGGGUCAUUGGAAACUGGGAGACUUGAGUACAGAAGAGGAGAGUGGAAUUCCACGUGUAGCGGUGAAAUGCGUAGAUAUGUGGAGGAACACCAGUGGCGAAGGCGACUCUCUGGUCUGUAACUGACGCUGAGGCGCGAAAGCGUGGGGAGCAAACAGGAUUAGAUACCCCUGGUAGUCCACGCCGUAAACGAUGAGUGCUAGGUGUUAGGGGUUUCGAUGCCCUUAGUGCCGAAGUUAACACAUUAAGCACUCCGCCUGGGGAGUACGACCGCAAGGUUGAAACUCAAAGGAAUUGACGGGGGCCCGCACAAGCAGUGGAGCAUGUGGUUUAAUUCGAAGCAACGCGAAGAACCUUACCAGGUCUUGACAUCCUUUGACCACCCUAGAGAUAGGGCUUUCCCCUUCGGGGGACAAAGUGACAGGUGGUGCAUGGUUGUCGUCAGCUCGUGUCGUGAGAUGUUGGGUUAAGUCCCGCAACGAGCGCAACCCUUGAUCUUAGUUGCCAGCAUUCAGUUGGGCACUCUAAGGUGACUGCCGGUGAUAAACCGGAGGAAGGUGGGGAUGACGUCAAAUCAUCAUGCCCCUUAUGACCUGGGCUACACACGUGCUACAAUGGAUGGUACAAAGGGCUGCGAAACCGCGAGGUUGAGCGAAUCCCAUAAAGCCAUUCUCAGUUCGGAUUGUAGGCUGCAACUCGCCUACAUGAAGCCGGAAUUGCUAGUAAUCGCGGAUCAGCAUGCCGCGGUGAAUACGUUCCCGGGCCUUGUACACACCGCCCGUCACACCACGAGAGUUUGUAACACCCGAAGUCGGUGGGGUAACCUUUGGAGCCAGCCGCCUAA
rnacentral:rRNA from 1 species